UUUGUAUCUAAUACAAAAGUAUACAAGGUCACAAAGUAUAUGAAAUAAUAUUUGCUUAGAUGCUGAUGUUAAUUCUGCCUGAGUUUAUUAAUCAUAUGGUAUCUUGAGAUGUCCAUCCUUUCUUCUCCAACUCUUGUCUCAGUGCCUUUCAGCAACCAAGAUUUUUCAUCACAAAAAUAUUUAGUAAGGGAUUUGCAUCCUCUGGAGUAAGUACUCUCUUUAUUGUACAUCAAAAAUAUUCUUUAUCUCUACCAAUUAAAAAAUAUCAAUGUAUUUCUGAUCAUAGUCAACCAAAUUUACCUUCAGUUAAAAUAAGUGACUAAUUUAGAAUAAUGUUAAAACAUUUGAGACUCAAAUUUAGUGAAUCUACUUAAGUAUAAAAUGUUUGACAUCACAUGAGGGAAGGGGAGUAUAACCCUAGAACCAAGAAUUUCUUUAUCUAACUAUAGAGAAAGCACAUAUUAAUUAUGAAAUCAUACCUUUAUUCUUUUUCUGUUCACAUCAAAAUCAAAGUUUCCCAACCGAGAUGCAGAUCGAUA
rnacentral:lncRNA from 1 species